GGGCACUGCCAGCCUGCUGGGAGCGGGUGGUGACAGCAUUUCUGUCCCCUCUGCAGGGACCCGAGCCCCCCGGGGCGGGGCAGGGUGGCCCCCGGGGUCACAGCCAGGAGGAGGGAGAGAUCAGCAUCGCUGCCCCGGGACAGGCCAGAGCUGGAGCUCGGUCCAGAGCUCGGCUCCAGCGGAUCCCACCCAGCUUCCCCAUCCUCUGCCGCAGCCUCCGAGUCAGAGCCCUGCCCCUCCGGGCCCCGGGCACCCCCCGCCCUGCGGAAACACCUUGGGAAGCUCCCGGGGCCGGUGACACUUCGGGGACAGUACACAGGGACACGGUACCAGGCGGGGACACCACGCGCCACCCCGGCACCCCGAGGAGAGCCGGGCACCUCGGGGUGUCCCCGAUGUCACAGGAGCAGGAUGGCAUCAGCUGGAUUUGGGGGAGGCGAUGCCCCCCGGCAGCCCCGGCACAGCACCCUGAGGAGGACAUCCUGCCCCACCUGCCAGGCACCCACGGGCCCCUCUGUGCCGGGCAGCAGGGACAGAGCCACAGCCGAGCGUGGCCAUGGUGGCUCCUGUGCCACCCACGCUGGAGCUGAGAAGCUGGAGCAACCGGGAAUUUGGUACUUGGCAGCCACCCCUGCCGCCACCACCGCCACCGUCUGCCUGGCACCCGUCCCCCUCGUGCCUUACGUGCCCUCCGUGCUGUAAGGAUGCCCUGG
rnacentral:lncRNA from 1 species